AGGUCUGAGGUGGAAGUGUGGCGACACAUGGAGCUGACAGAUACUAAUCGAUCGAGGACUUAACCAC
rnacentral:rRNA from 1 species